CAGUGAAUCAUCGAAUCUUUGAACGCACCUUGCGCUCCUUGGUAUUCCGAGGAGCAUGCCUGUNUGAGUGUCAGU
rnacentral:rRNA from 1 species